AUCCCAUGAUGAGGACAAGCUAAGAUAUAGUCCUGAAGAUAUUCCCAAGCUUCUGCGACUGAUUCAUCAUGAAUCUGCUGGAAACUUGAGAUACGGUUCCGAAGGGC
rnacentral:snoRNA from 1 species